UGGGACUAAAACUAUUUUAGAUUGAAGCGCUCUCUCUCUCUCUCUCUCUCUCUCUCCAGUCUCUGAUCCCUCAGAGCAAACGAAGUGGUUGCUGCGAAACCCUAGCCGCAAACAGAGGAUAAAAAGCAAAGCAAUUGCUGCGAAACCCCCAAAAUUUUCAGAAAAAAAGAAGAAGAAGAGGGGUUUCGUGAUCUGCACAAAAUCAUAAAAAAAAGAGACAAAACAGUGUGGAAAUAGAAUUUUUCAUAAUAAACAGAGACUAGAUCACACUCUUCAUCACAUCGUUUUCAUCAUUUUAAUGGGUUGAGACUCGAAAGGGCUGGGAGACAUGCCCCCUCAGUCUUCAGGUUGUUUACUUGAAAGUUUUGAUGGCAUGAGUGGAGUCGGAAAAAA